GGAGGCGUGGUGUAGCGGCCUAACAUGCGUCCCUGUCAAGGACGAGAUCGCCGGUUCGAAUCCGGUCGCUUCCG
rnacentral:tRNA from 1 species